rnacentral:rRNA from 1 species
UACGUAGGGUGCAAGCGUUUGUCCGGAAUUAUUGGGCGUAAAGAGCUCGUAGGCGGUUUGUCGCGUCGGCUGUGAAAACUCGGGGCUCAACCCCGAGCCUGCAGUCGAUACGGGCAGACUAGAGUGCUGUAGGGGAGACUGGAAUUCCUGGUGUAGCGGUGAAAUGCGCAGAUAUCAGGAGGAACACCGGUGGCGAAGGCGGGUCUCUGGGCAGUAACUGACGCUGAGGAGCGAAAGCGUGGGGAGCGAACAGG